rnacentral:lncRNA from 1 species
ACACCUUCGCCGUCCCCCAACACACGUUCUUCCGCUCUUCCUCAGAAUCGCCUCGCAUUUACUCCACCAAGCACAUCCUAUCUUGCUCACCACCCACACCCUCUCAUAGCUCGUGCAACGAGCGAGAACUGAAAUUGAAAACGGAGACCUACCUGAACAAUGGAUGAAGAGAGGACGAUGAUAAGAAAGCGAGCAGGUAAGAUGCACUAGUUUCAGCUACUGCACCGUGGCGCGGUAUUGCGCCUUCGUGCGG